UACGUAGGGGGCAAGCGUUGUCCGGAAUCAUUGGGCGUAAAGAGCGUGUAGGCGGCCCGAUAAGUCCGCUGUGAAAGUCCAGGGCUCAACCCUGGGAUGCCGGUGGAUACUGUCGGGCUCGAGUCCGGAAGAGGAGUGUGGAAUUCCUGGUGUAGCGGUGAAAUGCGCAGAUAUCGGGAGGAACACCGGUGGCGAAGGCGGCGACCUGGGUCGAGACUGACGCUGAGGCGCGAAAGCGUGGGGAGCAAACAGG
rnacentral:rRNA from 1 species